AGUGGACGCUGGCGGUAGGCCUAACACAUGCAAGUCGAACGGCAGCACAGUAAGAGCUUGCUCUUACGGGUGGCGAGUGGCGGACGGGUGAGGAAUACAUCGGAAUCUACUUUUUCGUGGGGGAUAACGUAGGGAAACUUACGCUAAUACCGCAUACGACCUACGGGUGAAAGCAGGGGAUCUUCGGACCUUGCGCGAUUGAAUGAGCCGAUGUCGGAUUAGCUAGUUGGCGGGGUAAAGGCCCACCAAGGCGACGAUCCGUAGCUGGUCUGAGAGGAUGAUCAGCCACACUGGAACUGAGACACGGUCCAGACUCCUACGGGAGGCAGCAGUGGGGAAUAUUGGACAAUGGGCGCAAGCCUGAUCCAGCCAUACCGCGUGGGUGAAGAAGGCCUUCGGGUUGUAAAGCACUUUUGUUGGGAAAGAAAAGCAGCAGGUUAAUACCCCGCUGUUCUGACGGUACCCAAAGAAUAAGCACCGGCUAACUUCGUG
rnacentral:rRNA from 1 species